rnacentral:rRNA from 1 species
CCUACGGGAGGCAACAGUGGGGAAUAUUGCACAAUGGGGGAAACCCUGAUGCAGCGACGCCGCGUGAGUGAAGAAGUAAUUCGUUAUGUAAAGCUCUAUCAUCAGGGAAGAAAAUGACGGUACCUGAGUAAGAAGCCCCGGCUAACUACGUGCCAGCAGCCGCGGUAAUACGUAGGGGGCAAGCGUUAUCAGGAUUUACUGGUUGUAAAGGGAGCGUAGACGGCAGUGCAAGUCUGGAGUGAAAGGCGCGGGCUCAACCCCCGGACUGCACUGGAAACUGUACGGCUGGAGUGCAGGAGAGGUAAGUGGAAUUCCGAGUGUAGCGGUGAAAUGCGUAGAUAUUAGGAGGAACACCAGUGGCGAAGGCGGCUUACUGGACUGUAACUGACGUUGAGGCUCGAAAGCGUGGGGAGCAAACAGGAUUAGAUACCCUAGUAGUC